CUGGAAUGAGAGCAGCACUGAGUGUAUCACUAAAGGAGGAGACCUGGUUAAGAUAGACAGCAAAGAGGAGCAGAGUUUCUUGAGGAUAGCUAUUCAACAAAAAAUCGAGAGCUAUGACGACCUUUUCUGGAUCGGACUGACAGACUCAGCAGUAGAGGGCAGAUGGUUGUGGGUGGACGGCUCACCGCUGAAUGAAAGUUUGACAUUUUGGUUCUUUCAUGAUGAGCCAGAUGGUUUGACUGGAGAAGAUCCUGAUGGACAGGACUGUGCGAAGAUGGGGCCAAUGUAUUGGUUUGCUAUUUCCUGC